rnacentral:rRNA from 1 species
AUUGUAUCCACGAUUGGGGAAUUUUCCGCAAUGGGCGAAAGCCUGACGGAGCAAUACCGCGUGAGGGAGGAAGGUCUGUGGAUUGUAAACCUCUUUUGAUAGGGAAGAAGUUCUGACGGUACCUAUCGAAUCAGCAUCGGCUAACUCCGUGCCAGCAGCCGCGGUAAUACGGAGGAUGCAAGCGUUAUCCGGAUUUAUUGGGCGUAAAGCGUCCGUAGGUGGUUAUUCAAGUCUAUUGUCAAAGCCUGGGGCUUAACCCUGGAGAGGCGGUGGAAACUGAAUAACUAGAGUGCGGUAGGGGCAGAGGGAAUUCCCAGUGUAGCGGUGAAAUGCGUAGAGAUCGGAAAGAACACCAACGGCGAAAGCACUCUGCUGGGCCGACACUGACACUGAGAGACGAAAGCUAGGGGAGCGAAUGGGAUUAGAUACCCCAGUAGUCAAUCGUGGAUACAAU